UGUGGUAGCAUGGCCAGGUGUAGUUCACUCUUAAACAUGUGGUAGCAUGGCCAGGUGUAGUUCACUCUUAAACAUGUGGUAGCAUGGCCAGGUGUAGGUCACUCUUAAACAUGUGGUAGCAUGGCCAGGUGUAGUUCACUCUUAAACAUUUGGUAGCAUGGCCAGGUGUAAUUCACUCUUAAACAUGUGGUAGCAUGGCCAGGUGUAGUUCACUCUUAAACAUUUGGUAGCAUGGCCAGGUGUCGUUUACUCUUAAACAUUUGGUAGCAUGGCCAGGUGUCGUUCACUCUUAAACAUUUGGUAGCAUGGCCAGGUGUAGUUCACUCUUAAACAUGUGGUAGCAUGGCCAGGUGUCGGUCACUCUUAAACAUUUGGUAGCAUGGCCAGGUGUAGUUCACUCUUAAACAUUUGGUAGCAUGGCCAGGUGUAGUUCACUCUUAAACAUUUGGUAGCAUGGCCAGGUGUAGGUCUCAUACAGUAUACUCUUGAUUUAAUGCAAGGAAUUAUAUUUUUUAUUUUUUGCUCAAUUUAGUGACUAGUUCGCUAAAUCAAGAUUAAUUCCGUUAAUACGCUCACACCUACAGAGACACCACAGACACAUGAUACAGUAAAACCUACUUCAGCCUACGGUGAGUGUACUAAAUGUAUAAAAUGAUAAAUAAUGAUAUAAAAAGCACCAUAUAAGAUUCACCCCCCGUUUUAGCAGGGAGUAUUUAGGAAACUGUUGCCGGUAACAUAUAAAACCACACAGGAAAAGGGAAACACUGCUUUAUUCAAAGCAUCUUCAGAGGCAACUGAAUUUGCAGUGACUGAGAGAGGCUUAUAUACAAUGAGUGGCCUUACAUAACAUAGGUCAGGUCAAUAACAUGGGAUCCACUAAUCCACACACCACCUCCACCACAAACAAAAGAAGAGUUUAUAAAAUAAAUGGGUGACAACAACAGGUUAGGUAAAAAACAUGAGACCCACUCAUCAUCUAUACUACAUCCACCUCAAAUGCUUUCAAAGCAUUUUUAAACUCGGGACAGUUAUUAUUUAUUAACUAAUAUCCUAA